rnacentral:rRNA from 1 species
AUGGUCAAAACUUGUUAGUUUGAAUAAAGAAAUAAUAUAUAAAUAGAGUAAGAAAAAUAGUUUUUAUUUAGUGUGAAUAAGUAUCUUUUAGAAAUUUGGAAUAAUAAAACUUUAGAGAAUUAGUAUCGUGAGAGAAAGUUGAAAUAAUUGAAAAUUGGGUCAAUUGAAAGUAAAUUUUGACAAUUGUACCUUGUGUAUCAGGGAUCACUUAUAUUGCCUCUGGACUGAGGAAUCCCGAAAAGAGAAUAGCUUGGGUGAAUGUGUUUGUUUCAGUGUCAAAUAAAUUUGUAACGUUACUCUAGUAGUGAAAUAUUAAUCGGGUCUCUUAAUAUCUGGUUCUCUUAAAAAUGAAUUCAAUUCAGGUGCAAUAAAAGUAAAUUUAUUGUAGUAAAUAGCAGGAGGUAAAGCUUCUUGUUGUGUAAUUAGUAUAGUCACUAUAAAAAUUAGUAAUAUUUAAACUAGGCUUAAAAGUAGCCAAGUUUAUAAAGUGUUUUAACUACAAGAAAAGUAAUAAAAAUAUUUUUAUGGUUACUUAUUUAAAAUAUAAGGGGGUACUAGAGAUUGUAAGAUUAGUAGUAAAAAUGGUGUUAUUAGUAUAAACGUUUAUAAGGUUGAUUAAAUUUAAAUAAUGAAACCUUUAUUGAAAAUAGAGUGAUGUAUGAAAGGAAUUCGGCAAAUAGUUGUUUUCGCCUGUUUAUCAAAAACAUGUCCCUGUGAGAUUCUUAUAGGGUCUAUCCUGCCCACUGGCGUUAAGCUAAAGGGCCGCGGUAUAGUGACCGUGCGAAGGUAGCAUAAUGAUUUGUUCUUUAAUUGAGGACUGGUAUGAAUGGAUGAACGAAAAACAAACUGUCUCUUGUAUAAAUUUUGAAUUUAACAUUUGAGUGAAAAGGCUCAAAUAAUUUAGGGGGACGAUAAGACCCUAUAAAUCUUUACUCUGGAGACAAUAACAUUGAAGAUUACUGCUAAUAAUUCCGUGUUAUUGUUUUUAGUGUUUUGUUGGGGCGACAGGAGUAUAAAUAAAUAACUGCUUUAAACGUAUAGUUAAUUAUAGUUAAGUUGUUGAUAAGUGAUCCUUUAGUAUGGAUUAUAGAUUAAGUUACUUUAGGGAUAACAGCGUAAUCUCAUCUGAGAGUCCUUAUCGAAGGUGGGGCUUGCGACCUCGAUGUUGAAUUAAAGAUCCUUUAUGGUGCAGGCGCUGUGGGAGGAGGUCUGUUCGACCUUUAAAUCUUUACAUGAUUUGAGUUCAGACCGGCGUAAGCCAGGUCGGUUUCUAUCUCCUAAUAAUUAAAAAGCUUUUUUAGUACGAAAGGAUUGAAAAGCUGUAAAAGUUUACUUUAUUAUUGAAUCAAAAU